rnacentral:rRNA from 1 species
GACCAAGGAGUCUAACCCGCAUGCGAGUCGUAGGGUCUUGCGUAGGCCCCGUGGCGCAGCGAAAGCAAAGUCGAGACAUCUGGGCGAAUUGUUAGGUCCAGUUAGCAUCGGCGGCUCGGCGGACGUUUCCGGAUGAAAUCGGCCCGUUGCAGGGAAGGCGUCAAAAACCUUUUUUGCGACGGGGAGCCGUGUCCGGCACGUCGGAGUCGGAGCAUGCGAGUUGGUACCCGAAAGAUGGUGAACUAUGCCCCGCCAGGGCGAAGUCGGAGGAAACUCCGGUGGAGGCCCGAAGCGGUUCUGACGUGCAAAUCGAUCGUCGGAGCGAGGUAUAGGGGCGAAAGACUAAUCGAACCGUCUAGUAGCUGGUUCCCUCCGAAGUUUCCCUCAGGAUAGCUGGCAUUCGUGAAACUCAGUCUCUCCUCGUAGAGAGAAUGAAUAGAGGCCAUGGGGCCCUAGACGACCUCAACCUAUUAUCAAACUGCUACGAGGUGCGUCGGUAGUGACUUGCUGACUUGAAGUCACGCUAUGGGAUGUGUGAGUGCCGUGUGGGCCACUUUU